rnacentral:rRNA from 1 species
AACGAUGAAGCCGCUUUUGUGGUGGAUUAGUGGCGAACGGGUGAGUAACACGUGGGCAAUCUGCCCUUCACUCUGGGACAAGCCCUGGAAACGGGGUCUAAUACCGGAUAACACUCUGUCCCGCAUGGGACGGGGUUGAAAGCUCCGGCGGUGAAGGAUGAGCCCGCGGCCUAUCAGCUUGUUGGUGGGGUAAUGGCCUACCAAGGCGACGACGGGUAGCCGGCCUGAGAGGGCGACCGGCCACACUGGGACUGAGACACGGCCCAGACUCCUACGGGAGGCAGCAGUGGGGAAUAUUGCACAAUGGGCGAAAGCCUGAUGCAGCGACGCCGCGUGAGGGAUGACGGCCUUCGGGUUGUAAACCUCUUUCAGCAGGGAAGAAGCGAAAGUGACGGUACCUGCAGAAGAAGCGCCGGCUAACUACGUGCCAGCAGCCGCGGUAAUACGUAGGGCGCAAGCGUUGUCCGGAAUUAUUGGGCGUAAAGAGCUCGUAAGCGGCUUGUCACGUCGGAUGUGAAACCCGGGGCUUAACCCCGGGUCUGCAUUCGAUACGGGCUUACUUAGAGUGUUGGUAGGGGAGAUCGGAAUUCCUGGUGUUGCGUUGAAAUUCGCAGAUAUUCAGGAGGAACCACCGGU